GAUGAACGCUGGCGGCGUGCCUAAUACAUGCAAGUCGAGCGAACAGACGAGGAGCUUGCUCCUCUGACGUUAGCGGCGGACGGGUGAGUAACACGUGGAUAACCUACCUAUAAGACUGGGAUAACUUCGGGAAACCGGAGCUAAUACCGGAUAAUAUAUUGAACCGCAUGGUUCAAUAGUGAAAGACGGUUUUGCUGUCACUUAUAGAUGGAUCCGCGCCGCAUUAGCUAGUUGGUAAGGUAACGGCUUACCAAGGCGACGAUGCGUAGCCGACCUGAGAGGGUGAUCGGCCACACUGGAACUGAGACACGGUCCAGACUCCUACGGGAGGCAGCAGUAGGGAAUCUUCCGCAAAGGGCGAAAGCCUGACGGAGCAACGCCGCGUGAGUGAUGAAGGUCUUCGGAUCGUAAACCUCUGUUAUUAGGGAAGAACAAAUGUGUAAGUAACUAUGCACGUCUUGACGGUACCUAAUCAGAAAGCCACGGCUAACUACGUG
rnacentral:rRNA from 1 species